GGGGGAAUGUCCCUGUACUUACUGUAAGUCGCUCUGGAUAAGAGCGUCUGCUAAAUGACUAAAUGUAAUGUAAAUGCCAAACUUGAGUCUUGCUUAAGAAUACCACUGUAACAAUAAAGAAAUUGUUCAUGCACAAUGCUAGAAUGAACAUGCUUUUAAUCAGCUAUGCACUCUUAUGUUGAAGAGGUGCCUCUAGAAAUUAGAAGUAAAAUGACAAAUAAAGACUACCAAGAAUGUUA